AUUGAACGCUGUCGGCAUGCCUUACACAUGCAAGUCGAACUGUAACAGGUUAAGCUGAGGAGAGGCGAUUGGGUGAGUUAUAUAUCGGAACGUGCCUAGUUGUGGGGGAUAACUGCUCUACAGAGAAGCUUAUACCGCAGAUGAGCUGGGGGUGAAAGCAGGGUAACGGAUUACCAGGCGCAAUCGGAGCGGCCAAUACCAGAUUAGCUAGUUGGUGGGGUAAAAGCCCACCAAGGCGACGAUCCGUAGCUGGUCUGAGAGGACGACCAGCCACACUGGGACUGAGACACGGCCCAGACUCCUACGGGAGGCAGCAGUGGGGAAUUUUGGACAAUGGACGCAAGUCUGAUCCAGCAAUGCCGCGUGCGGGAAGAAGGCCUUCGGGUUGUAAACCGCUUUUGUCAGGGAAGAAACGGCUUUCUCUAAUACAGAGGGCUAAUGACGGUACCUGAAGAAUAAGCACCGGCUAACUACGUGCCAGCAGCCGCCGUAACAC
rnacentral:rRNA from 1 species